rnacentral:rRNA from 1 species
UUACCAGGUCUUGACAUCCCGAUGCUAUUUCUAGAGAUAGAAAGUACUUCGGUACAUCGGUGACAGGUGGUGCAUGGUUGUCGUCAGCUCGUGUCGUGAGAUGUUGGGUUAAGUCCCGCAACGAGCGCAACCCCUAUUGUUAGUUGCCAUCAUUCAGUUGGGCACUCUAGCGAGACUGCCGGUAAUAAACCGGAGGAAGGUGGGGAUGACGUCAAAUCAUCAUGCCCCUUAUGACCUGGGCUACACACGUGCUACAAUGGUUGGUACAACGAGUUGCGAGUCGGUGACGGCGAGCUAAUCUCUUAAAGCCAAUCUCAGUUCGGAUUGUAGGCUGCAACUCGCCUACAUGAAGUCGGAAUCGCUAGUAAUCGCGGAUCAGCACGCCGCGGUGAAUACGUUCCCGGGCCUU